CAUGCAUAUUGCUAGCAAUUAUUCUCUCAUGUGACCUCUCUUUCUCUUGAGAAACUGACUACAAAAAUUAUAUAGAUGACUCGAUAGACUAUAGUGAGGCUAUAUUUAUAUUCCUUCUUCAUACCUGCGGCAACACGCGGGGAAUCCUCCUAAUUUUUUAUAUCAACAUCACUCCUUUGAAUACACAUGAUGCUUGUGAAAUUUGUUAACAAAAACAUGAGAUGUCACACUUGAGAUGUGGAUCCAUCUAUCGGCCUAUAGUCUUUCUACUUUCUAUUUUCUUUCUCCUUAGUCGAUUCUUCCUACUCUCAAUCUAUUCGCAGAGGGUGGUGGCUGCCUCUUCUCCCCUCGCGACCGAGCUUGUCCUAAUGUUCCAUAGGGUGCUCGCCUAGGCAUGCUUAUGCGCUAGUUGGAGGGACACUAUCUUGCUCAGUUAUAUACAUCUUCCUCAUUAUUUGAAGACUUGCAUGCUAUAUUUGGGUAUUUAUCCCGAGGACUACAUAAUUGACAAAAAUGAUUUGACGAGGCGGUGGAUAGCUGAAGGUUUUAUAUGUAAAGUUCGUGGGAUGGAUCUUGAGGAUAUUGCGAAGAGCUAUUUUAAUGAGCUUAUUAAUAGGAGUUUGAUUCAGCCUACAGAUACAAACUGCAAUGGUGAGGUGAUGUCUUGCAAGGUACAUGACAUGAUGCUUGAUCUUAUCCUCCAUAAAUCCCAACAAGAGAAUUUUGUCACUGUAAUAGAUGAUGUAGAAGGCAUGACAGGGCAACAAGACAAGAUUCGUCGACUCUCUCUCAACCUGGAUGGUACAGUAGGUGAAAGGGUUCCAGGAUGUGUCCAGCUAUCCCAAACAAGAACACUAGCAAUAUUUGGAACCUCUUCAUAUUUACCUCCUUUUCAACUGUUCAAGUAUCUCCGUGUUCUCGGAAUUGAAAUUACAGUAAGGUCCUAUCCACUGCUGUCACUAGACUUUACUAAGAUAUGUCAUCUAUUUCAGUUGAGAUCUUUAAAGAUCAUAGCAAAAGGUCACACGGUGGUGUUACCUAGUAAAAUUGGGAGUAUGCAGCAAUUGGAAACAUUUGAAAUCAAGGCUGGUAUAAAAUUGUCUAAGGGACAAUCAUUUCGUGAACUACCAUCGGAUAUAGUUCAUCUGAGCCGGUUAUUGCAUCUGAUUGUUCCAAGUGGCAUAAUGUUGCCAAACGGGAUCAGCAACAUGAAAUCCUUGCGUACUCUGCACUGCUUCGGUUUACAUAACUCACCAAACAGUAUCAAGGGUCUGGGGGAACUGACCAAUUUGACCAGUCUUAAAAUAAUAAUUGGUGAUUCUAGACCAAUGGCUAGUGAUGAGAUUGUGGAGAAAGGCAGAGAAGUUCUGCAGACUUGUCUUGGAAAGCUUUGCAACCUCAAAUGUCUAUAUAUGGAUAUUUAUUCUCCCGGGGAUUCCUUCUAUUUUGAUGCGUUGAGUUCAACACCUGCUUCUUUCCAUCAUCUCGAGAUAUUCUGUGGACGCAAGUUCUCAAGGGUUCCUGGAUGGAUCAGCCAACAACAUAACCUCUAUGAGCUGGAUCUUGAUGUUAAGCAAGUGUCUGAGGAAGAUGUUGGAAUUCUUGCACAGCUGCCCUCACUUAUCAACAUGAUGUUGCACAUCUUAGGAACUCCGGAAGACAAGAUCAUCAUCCAUGGAAGUGGAUUCCCUGUUCUGAAGCGUUUUACAUUUGGCUGUAGCAGGAUAUCGUGCCUGGCUUUUGUGGCAGGGGCAAUGCCCAAGCUUGAAAGGCUCGAGCUACAUUUUAAUGCGAAGGGGUGGGACAGGUACGGCGCUGCACCUACUGGAACCGAGCACCUCUCAGGCCUCAGGGAAAUCCACGUAGACAUUGGGGGAUUGGGUGCCACGAAAUCAAACAGAGGAGCUGCAGAGUCUGAGUUCAAGAACGUCAUAGACAUGCAUCCAGGUCGACCUGUAGCCAACAUCGACUGCCCUGAUUCAGGGUGGAUAUUUGAAGACUAGGAUGCAGAAGAUGAUGGGUGGAGGAAGUAGCGGGACAAUGGUGUGAGCGGCGGCGGCACUUGAAGGGCAAAUGCAAGCUGGUAAGUUAUGAUACGAGUUGAUACUAGCAUGCAUGUCGCAAAAGCAAUUACCAGUGCUACUAGCUAGGACUAGGAGUAACUCUGUUGUCUCGCCCGUGGCUUUCCUUUCUCUCAUGUGUGCGUGUAGUAUAUCAACUGACUAACACUGGCGGUGCUUUUUGGUUGUUGUGGACAGGACAGGGGUCUCUUGUCUCAACUCUUUGUUGAAGUGGUCGACCUGCAUCCAUUUUGUUUUGGGGUGACGAUGAUGGCAGCCAUGAAGGAUUCCAUGGAGGACUUGACUGCGUGUGGUUUCAUGUAUGAGCAGGCCGAUCGUUUGAGAAUGUAGACUCAUCUGACAUCAGAUAGUUGAUAAAUCGUGUGUGUGCACGCUGAUGGUUUCUUGAGUUAUUAGGAGCACCUUCUUCAUGCCUUUCCGGUUCAUUUACUUGUAAUAAUAUGGAUGCUGAAAGCACCAGUUCAUAUGCAAAAAUUUGAACCUAUACUACUAUGUAUGGUCGUCUCAUAUGUGAUCAUUAGUUGACGCAUGUUAAUUUUAUUCUUUCGGACUUGACAGUAGUCCUGUAGAUGCAUGCUCUUGUGGUUCUGAUCUGCAGCAUCACAUGAGGUGUGGUGUGGUGGGACUGUGGAGUUGGAACCAUAUGCCAACUCAUUUUCUUGUAAUAAUAAUAAUCAUAUGGAUUGUGAACGUACCUGUUGGUCAUGCUUUUUUUGCUACUAAAUUAUGCUAGUAAAAUACAACUGAUGGAACAAGUAUACUCUGCUUCCAAUAGAACUUUGAACACUGAGAAUGCUCUGUUCUGUAAAAAAAAAAUGCUUUCGAUAUAUCACAUUGUGUACCAGUGGAAAAUAUAUAACAAAUAUGGCUUUAUUUCAAAAGUUCAAUUAUGGCAUCACUAAAACACUGACUUUGCAAUACAUUAUAUAUUCCCUAUUAAGUCACAGAUCAAGCACAGAAAUCAGCUGGAAGCUCGUCAUUGUCAACAAUGCCCGCUGCAUCCUCUGCCACGUGGAUAUUGAGGAUGCUGACCACAUUAUCACUCAAUGUCUGUUUUCUAGAGAAUGCUUGAACCAUAUGUGUGGCAGUGACGCUCAGCUUGCCCCAGUUUGUGAACUGUCCUCCUCACUUCCCUCAGAAAUCACUGCAGCUGCAGCUCCAGCUUUUCUCCUCUUAUGCUGCUGGGGACUCUAGAAGCACCGCAAGAAUGUGGUGUUCUGGAAACCGCACCCAAGCCUGCACCGACUACUAGCAGCUUGCUGAGAAGCGGCAACUUCCUGGGCCUGCAGGUUGCUACAUAACCUGCAACAUGUAACAAAUGGAUGGUGUAAUAGGUUUAGCAUGUCAUCUCUCCCCUCCCACACAUUGUACUCUAAACAACAGGCCUCGCCUGUUAGACUGAACCAUAGUAGGGAUAGGGAGUGGAAGUGGAUUGGCAAGGGGAGUGGAGAGGAGGCGGAGGGUGGAGAUGAUGAUGUCCUCAGUGGAGGCAGAGGUGGAGUAGCUGCGCCUACUGUGGAGGAAUAGGAGGGGUCGGGCCUCCAUCAUUGUGCCUCCUAUGUGACUCCUUCCCACACAACUAAGACUCGAUCGGUAUGUAUUGUCUUUCACAGCAACGAUCCUGGUCAGAGCUAGGAAGGAAACCACCAUGGGCAGCAGUACCCAUGGCUGCAAGCGGUGGAGGGCUCCGGACAGACAAAGCUGAGAUGGAAGGGCAAUAUCUGGCAGAGUUUGAAUUGUGUGUCAUACACCACCACAGGUGGCAGUACCCAUGCCCAUCCUUGAGGCCAUCCCACCAGUUAUGCAGUAGCAGAUAUUUGGAAUUAGACAAACAUAAAGGUUUAGAGCUUGCAGAAAGGUUCAGAUCUCAUUAACUGUGAGUCAAACAAGCACAAAACUUAGUCCAGUUCCUUGAAUGAAAAUGUCAAAAGCAGAAACUUGAUGCUGGUUCAACUUUCUCAUGCUCACAGGUGGGAUCAUGGCUGACGAGGAGAAUUCAUUUUGAUCUAACCAACUGCAACUUACGAUUCUCAGUUUCCCACAUGAACAACAAUAAGUAAAUUUCAGUUAAAUGAAAUAUUAAUGACCUUUCUUGCUGACAAAAUUCCUAUAAGCUAAAAAAACUGAGCAUCUGAUGGGACAUGAUUAGUGAACAUUGAUUUAAGAGCUUGAUAAAAGGUAAGUUCUUUACAGAAAAAUGUGGUUUUGUUAUACCUAAGCUGAAAGUCAAAAGAGCAAGAAGCAUUGAGCAGUUCAACAUCAGUUUUAAUUGCAAACAUCCCACGGCUGCAAACUAAAAGUUGCACUGGCUUGAAGACGAUUAGAUCAAAUCUCCAGAAAUCACACCACCCAAUUCCCCUGCUCCCCACACCGUCACUAUGGACAAAAAUUAGAGCUGCUACAUAGCACAUAGCACAUAUGUUUCUCAUUCGUUACACAAAAAAUAUGUUACUUUUGUAUUGAAAACAAAAUCAAAUAUUUUGAAAGUUUUAACUGUAGAUAGAUGCUUUCAUCCUACCAAGUACCAACCAAUGAGGAAAGACCGAAAGAAUGUCCUUUUAAGUAAGGAACCAUAGAAACUGCACUAUAAACUCAGUAAAAAAAGCUAACAUGGAAAAUUUCUAUAAAGAAAGUGAGCUAGUUAGGCACGAAUUGUGAGUCUGGACUUUGUAUCUUUGCCAGGUAGCCACAAGUAGAGUUUCACAAAUCAAUAAACAAUGAAAUUAAAAAGUGAGUCUCACAGUAUGAUAAUAUUGUCUCACAGAAACACAUGAUGCAAUUUUGUAAAGUGAGUUCCUUCCAUUCUAACAUCUGUUGUAGUCUGACAGUACUGAAAAACGAGUAGGAGUUUCAGGUUUAACCACAUCAAGUCCAGAGUACAGAGAUUAAUUUUUUUUCAAUUUUUCACCACUUAUUUGAUCAUAGUAGAUAUCAGAUGAACUGAAAGAGACAUACAAGGACAAACUGAAACACUGCCUAGAGCCCUUCAACUAUUGCAAAGACUGAACACCAGUCAAAUUGACAGAUUCCUGAUUGGAGGAAGACAGAAGCAAAACACUUGCAGAAUACACAUACAGACCCUACUGCCAGUAGUUGAAUGAAUAGGAUGGAUGUUUUUAGAAGGACCUAGACCUUACUGUAGAGAUAUAUCAGUAGCCGCAAUCUUCAUUAGAGGUUGACACACCAAACCAUGUGACCUUAAUCACUGCAGAGUUCAUUCAUGCAAGUACAAAGCAAACAGAGUUCAUUUAUGCAGCGAACAAAGGAACAUACGAAAGGGUUGCAUUUGUCCUGAACAAUUUUACCAGGUCUGAUCUAAUGCACCAACAAUUCAUUCCGCAAAGAGAUUCCGGCUCCAGAGCCUCCUAGCCUGCAGCAGCUUAAUUCUCCGCCAGCACCCAGUUCAGCAGAAGACCAAAUGUGAGGAAGUCGAGGUGGGGAGGAAACAGGGAACAGCAGCACCUGCAAGAAAUCAGUCCCAAGAUGGGGGAGACAUCAACAGAUCGAUGAGAAAGGGGAAAAAGGGAACGGAGCAAAAUCCAUUCAGUAAAAUGGGAAGGGGGGGAACACGAAGAAGGAAGAUUGCUUACCUGGUGGGAACGGGCUGGGACACCGGAGGUGCUGCCGGAGCGGACGGCCAGGGACACUGCAGCAGCAGCAACAGGGGACAGCUCUGCUCCUCAUCGGCGGCGGAGGCCGGAGUGCCUCGCUUUGAGUGGAACGGGCCGGAGUAGGGGGCCUUUUCCCUGUGUGCCAUUAUAAAAGAUGCUCGAUUCCCAUGUGCCAUUAAAAAGUUCGCUCGUCCCUGUGUGACCAGACACAAAUUUGUUUUGCCCUGUGUGCCAUUCCGUUCACUUUUGCCUCUAACGGUGGAUAACGGCUGAACCAUUUGACACUGAUGCCCAUAGGAAAUGAAAUUGCUUGACUUCCUCUGUGCCAUUUCACGGACAGCAGCUGGCCAAGCGUUUUGGCGGGAACAGACAGUGGUGUUGGCGCCAAGAGCUGGGUAGUUGGCCCCAACCCUGCCCUCCUCUGCUAUAUAAAUGACCUGAGCCCUCACUCAUGUCCACCACAAGCCACAUAACAAUGUCUCAAGCAUCUAGCAGCUAUGGUGGUAGGCCUACGGUUAGGAGGGUGAUGUGCCCCAACUGUCAUGUUCUUGCCAAUAGGUUCAUCUCCAGCACCGUGAACAACAACAACAGGGUGUUUCACAAGUGCCCCUAUUUUGCUGUUUGUGCUUCUUCUCCACUACUCACUCACUGCUUUUUCCUUUGCCUUUAUUUUUCUUUUCUCCUCACUGGUCUUCUCUUUUGUUUUUAGGUUGCAGGCUGCCAAUAUUAUCAAUGGGAGGAUGAGAUGGAUCAAGUUGCAGCACCUGCUCCAUUGCAUGCAGUGCCACUGCAGGCAGCGCCACCACCUGCUGCAAUCAGCACUGCAGCUCCAGUUGCCCUCAUCCAGGAUGGUUCCCAGGCUGCUGGUCAUGGAGGCAAUGCACAAGACUACAGUAGGGUGAUGCAGCAGCUUAAGUGGAUGGAAAAGAUGAUCUUUGUGUGCAUUUUCCUUGCUCUGUAUGCUAUUUUCAAGAAGUAGUUUGUGUAUGUGUGUGUGAGUGGGAGUAUGAGUGGUCCCUCUGUAAGAUUGUCUCAUUGAAUCAAAGAAUGAAUGAAGCAGGUACUAGUACUUGUGGUUCUUCACUAGUAUAAAAUGCAUUAACAUGUGAAAAUAAAUACUGCAACAUCAUAACAGCACCUCAUUCAUCACAUACAUGAUAUAGCAUCACAUAACAUGUUAUAUCAUCAUGAUAUAGCAUCACAUAAUAUGUUGUCCAUGACAUAGAAGCUAACUUAAUUGUUUUCAUGGCAUCCAUGAUGUCCAUCACAUACCAGCAACAAUACAUCACAAAAGGCAGUGUUUUUGGAUCAAUAUAACAACACCAAAAGAAAAUCAUGUCCACAUGACCAAAAGACCAAACACCUGUCACCUUUCACUGCAGCUGCAAUUUCUUCUUGCUUCUGGUGUUCCCAGCUGGGCUGACAGGGCAAGGGCUGGGGCUGGCUGCUGCAACUCUCCUCGGUGUCAACUUCUUCUUUAUUGCCACCCUCCUUCUUGGUGUAUGCUGGGGUGGGGCUACCUCCAGGGGAUCAGUCUGCACUGUCAUGCAGUCUUCAUUCCCUGGGGGCUCCAACACCAUCUCUGUAGCAAGAGGAAUUGGAUCAUUUGAUCCAGUUGCAGACCUGUGGCACAUUUGAUUAGUAUCAUGUUUCAAAUGUUGUGAUGAAGACAGUCUAGAGUUUUGUGGUAGUCCUACCUGCUGUUAGACCCUGAUGCUGCAGUCCUCCUGGAAGCAGAUGAACUUGGACCUACCUCACAGGUCUUCUUGGUAGCUGACCUUUUCUUCCUCUUGUUGUGUGUAGCAUUUUUGACAGCCUCAUUGACUGGCCAUACCAUCUCUGUAGGUGUUGGAGUUGGAACAGCAACUAGGCUCAUCUCUGUAUUGGCUGCCUGAGCCUUCUUCAGUCUUUUCUUAGGUGGACCCCUGCAUACACAGUCUGAUUACUAUUUGUUUGCAACAAGUGAAGGCAGUAGGUAUACAACAAUGGCAUAAAGUUUUUACCUUGCAGCUUCCAUUGCAGCAAUAUCAGCUGGGUCCCCAUUCUUGCAAGUGUACCAAUGAUGUCCUAGCUGUUGACAAAUGGAACACUUGUGUUUCUUUCCUGCUUUUUUCUUGUUCCUGCUGCCUCCCUCUAGAGCUCCUUUGAACCUAUUUUUCCUCCUUCCUCCUCCUGUGGCUCUAAGCAAUGGAGGGUACAAGAAAAAUCCAUGAGUUCCUUUGGGCCACAUGCUUUUGUCAGGAAUGCAAGGUAUGGAGCCCUCAUAAGCAGCCUUGAAUCUAGCAACUGAAAAGUAGUCAUCAACAUGAUCUUCAAGCUUCUCUCCAGGUUUUGAAGUAAUGUAUGCUAUGGCAUGUUUGCAGGGGAUUCCUGAACACUGCCAAACCCUACAAGAGCAAGUUCUGUCAGGCAAGCUGACCACAAACCUAAAACCAUCCUCUCUUCCCUUUGCCACCAAUUCUGCCACACCAUCAGGGCUGUCUGUGAUAAUCUGCAUGUCUAGGUUGUAGCUUUCCUCCCUUAGCCUCUGCAUGAUGUGUGGCAGAAUCUUUCCAGUGAACUUCAUAGCUACCUUCUUCCUAUGGUUCCAUUUGAUCAAGAUCAUCUGUCUUAUUGUGUCCAGCAGGUCAUCUAGAUGUUUCCCCUUCUCAGGCUUGAUCCAAUUGUUGAAAGUUUCUGCUAAGUUAUUAGUCACAUAAUCCACCUUGGAGAGUAAACCAUACUGGCUCCUAGUCCAAAGUUUCUUAUGUGUCUCCUGCAGGUACUUCAUUGCCUCAGGUUUUGCUUCAGCCAUGGCAUGAUAAUGCUUCUGGAACAUGUACUCAGUCCAGGCAUAAGAGGAAGCCCACAAGUGAUCAUCAAAAACCUUACCACUGUACCUCUUCUUGAAGUUUUGCACUAAAUGAUACAUACAUUCCCUAUGUUCAGCAUUGGGAAACACUUCACUAACCCCAUUCAUGACUGCCUGUCCACAAUCUGUACUGAAUGUCAUGCCUUCAGGGGUGCCUAUAGCUUCUUUCAAUUUUUCCAUGAACCAUACCCAGUUCUCAUUGGUUUCGGAGUCAAUAACCCCAAUAGCUACUGGGUACAUCCAAUUGUGCCCAUCUACUGCACAUGCAAUGCACAAUUGUCCUCUAUAUCUACCAUUCAAAAAUGUGCUAUCUACUGCAAGGUAUGGCCUACAACCUCUAAGAAAACCCUCAACACAUGGCUUCAAUGCAAAGAACAGCCUAUUAAACCUUGCUUUGUUAUUGAUGAUUAUGUGAUCAAUGUUCAGCCAAGAACCAGGACUAGCAAGUUCUAGCUGGGCCUUUAAUUUGUACAGAUUAUCAAAACUUUCAUCCCAAGGACCAUAAAUCUUAUCCAUUGCCAGGUUUUUACCUUUGAACACCCUCUUGUAUGGCACUUCAAUUUUGAAAGCAUCAAACAACUUUUGCUGCAGCUUAGUUGGACCCAAAGUAGCAUCCUGCUUCAGCCAAUCAAGAACAUGGCUGCACACCCACCACUGAGUUACCCCAACACAAAUUCCUUGUCUCCUUGUGCUCUGACAGUUUUCAUGCUUGUCUGGAUUCUUUAUGACCUACAAAACAAUUCCAGCAAUGCACAAGUUAGACCUACAAAAUAAUUGGCAUCAGUCUGUCCAAGCACAAGUUAUACAGCUAAACCCUAAUACCUUAACAGUCUGUCCAUCCUUCACAGUUCCUGCAUGCAGUCUCCAAGGGCACCCAUAAAUCUUCUGGGAACAGUUCACCCUAUACCUCCCUGGAUCACUCUUCUCAAUGUCAUAAUUGAACUCAUGAACAACAGCAUGUGUAGCUAAAGCAAUUUUAAAAGCCUCCAUGUUGGAGUACAAGGUUCCUACAGCCAUUGGAGGGUUCAUCUUGUCAUAAUUGGCAUCAGGCAUGCCUUCAGGCAGCCUAUCUUCAACCAUAACAUCAUCAGAACACUCAUCAUCAGAAGACUCAUCAUUAGAAUAUUCCUCCUCAGAGUCUGAGGAAAUGUUAGCAUCUGCAUCACUUUGUUUUCUGCCAACAGGCCUCUGAAGAUUGCUAGGAGCAGGGGCAGGGGCAGGGGCAUGGACAGGGACAGGGUCAAGGGUAGGACCAAUGUCUAUAUACAAAGAUUCAUCAUUAACACCAACAUGCUCAUACUCAGGGUUUGGGUUAGCAAGGUACUCAGGAUUAUCAUCUUGGUUUGCCUCCUCACUCGCAGUUUCACUAUUUGUGGCAGCAGAUUUACUGUAAUGGCUUGGUCCAGCAGUUGUAGAGUGAGUGGGUAAGCCUGGGCAAGCAACAGAGGGUGUGAAUGGGGGUUCAACUGAGGGCUCAACUGAUGCAACAUUGCUAGGACUAUCCCAAUCAGGUAGGCAUGGGUCAGUAUCAGGGUUGUGGUAUGCAACAGUGAUGAAGCAGGUUCUCGAAGCAAUAUUUCUUGCAAACAUUUGCAACAAAUCAUGAUCACCUCGGAGGGGAAUGUGAGCUUUAGUCUCUGUGCACAAGUAGAACAAACUAGCAACGUGACCGUAGUCGUGAGGAUACUUGUCCACCAACUCAUCGCGCAGCCCAGUGAAACAAGUGCGGUCAGCAUCCACCACUAGAUUCAAUGAAAACCACCUCGCACGCGAAUUCGGAGCAACAAUCCGUAUUUCUAAAUUGUAGCUACUGUCGGGGUCCAUCCUACAGAUGAACAAGGAGCACGGAAUCAAUAUAGCACUCUAAUUAGUAACCCUAACACGGAUUGGCAAUAACACGUAACGUCGCCAAAUCGAUACACUAACACCCAAUCAAAGGCCGCCCCGAAUCAGAUGAGGGGAAUGAACUCACCCGUCUUGAAACCACGCCGGUGGCUCGCCGCCGUUCCACGCCAUGGCGGCUUCGUGCCGUGCUUCUUGAUCCACCGGGGUCAAAUCCAAGCACGCAUCCUCCAGCACCGCUUCGUUCUCCACCGCCGCACCUCGCUCCGCCGCCGGAUCCGCCGCCGCUAGGGUUGCGCCACCACCGCUAGGGUAUCGCCGAGAGACUGGGGAGGAGAGAGUGGAGAGAGACUGGGGGCGGCGGCGGUCAGCAUCGGUCAACCAGACACACUUAGAGCGCCCACAUACGAAAGGGCAGUGUGGUCUUUUUCUCAGCCCGGUCCCACACGUCAGAGCACCCAAACGGCCAAAAACAAACAGAAAGUGAACGGAAUGGCACACAGGGCAAAACAAAUUUGUGUCUGGUCACACAGGGACGAGCGAACUUUUUAAUGGCACAGGGGAAUCGAGCAUCUUUUAUAAUGGCACACAGGGAAAAGGCCCCGGAGUAGGAGGUUGGUUUCGUUUUUCUUACGUACAUAUUGUAUUUGUUCCUUACAAGUUGCAAAUUCUUCAUAUUUUCAGUGUGGUUUAUAUGGUUAGAAGAAUGGAGAUCCUAAAUUUCAUUAUAGAUUGGCAGAUUUAAAUUUGUAUUAAAGUUGCACGCCCUUUAAACUUGUACUACCUGGACCUAGGAGGAACUGAUUUAAAUAGUACAUCUGGCGGAAGUAAAAAAAUUUAAAAUUUCGAGGUCCAUCCAUACAUAGUUAACAGGCGUGCCUCAAACUUUCAAGUAUUUUCUAGUGCAAAGUUGAGUUUAUCUGCACCACAGCAUGUUACAUGCAUGACCACUAAAAGCAGUGUGUCGUGGUACUUGUAUUUUGUUUUGUAGCUUGAAGUGGUGAUAAAAAUUCAGGUCAAUAGUAUCAUGAUAAGAUUUGUGAGUACAUUUAAAAAUAACAAAAAUAAAAAUAAUCAUCAGGGAUGGAAAGUUUUUGACAAGUUUCAUAUAGUACAAUUGGCAAAGUGAUAGAGUAGUUAGCAACACGUCGAGAGGAUGCUUAAUUCCAACCCUUUCAAACUGUACUUCCUAGCUAGCUAGCUACUAUACAGCCUAGCAGCUAACACAGCCUUUUUAAUCUUACACCAAUUAAGCCAAAGAGCAUGCGUUCACCAUCGAUUUUGACAAACUAGUGUGUGUUAAAUAAUCAUUCUUCAACUUUUACGAGCUACAGUACGUUAAGCUCGUAGGAAAGACUAUUCCAUCGAACUGUACCUUUUCAGUCCUUAAAAGAAAAACAGCAAUAUUAAGCUACCCCUGUUCAGCUCCUACACAACGUGUACUUGUUUUAACACUCUAUAGCUACGUACAUCGGCGCAAAUGUACUUGUUUACAACCGCCCUUACAGUGGGCUACUGUAAGGCGGCUGGUGCUUCCAGCCGCCCUUAUAGUGAGCAUUAGUAAGGGCGGCUUGUGUCUCAGCCGCCUCUAUUGUUUGCAUUUGCAAGGGCGGCUCAAUCUAGAACCGCCCCUACAGUUAUUUUUCAAAAAAAAUAAAAAUUACAAUAAUCGAGUUGACAGCACAGCACAGCACCACAUACAUAUAUACAUAUAUAAUCAAAUUCUCAACAUCACAGAUUCACAACAUAAAUAUCCAUACAUAUACACAGCACCACAUUUAUAGUCCAACACAUUUCAAGUCUAAAAUGUUUCCAAGUCCAUUACAAAUCCAUCCAAAAGAGUCCGAAAUUUUUUAAGUACUAAUACAAAUCGAUCACAGUCUAUUCCAACAAGUUCACAUGUAAUCAACGACCUAGACAUAGCCUAUCCCACUGACGGAGGUGCUGGUAAAGAGGAUUGCUACCUAAGUCGGACUGAGGGUUAUGGUAAUCACCUUUGUAAUAAACAACAUGGUCCAUUAUAAAGUUGCAAAGGUCACUGACAAUCUCUAAGAGGUCAUCAUCCCUGUAGACAUUCCUUUUUAGUCCUUUUUCUUCUUUCCACUACAAGAUCGUAAAAGACAAGUUUAGGUCUAGUGUAAAGAAGAGAUUGCAAAGCUAAGUGAGAAAUACUAUGUUUUCAUACUACAACCCACUAAGAGAUUCAAACUUACCAAUUCAGGGUGUCUCAUGUAGCCUUUUGUGUUACUGAUGAAAGCACAUACAUAGUAUCCACAAUGCAGACUCCCUGGCCUUUGCUUGGGAAACUUUGUUUCAAUUUGCAAAUGGAGAUGUGUCAAGUAUAAGUACUGAAAAAAUUAGUAAUUUUAUGCCAAACUAAGUCGCACUUACCAAACAUAGAGAUUUGAAACGCAAGUGGCUCCCCAGACCUGGAUCAUGCCUUCCUUUGUGAUUCUUGACAUAGGCCCUGAAUGCCCUGUUGAUUGAGAAUCGAUGUGACUUAUUGUAUGCAGAAGUCGAUAUUAAAGUGAAUCAUAUAAGGUUACUAGGAUUACUAAUUUGCUUACGUAAUGAGAAUUGACAUGAAGUCUUUAUAUGUGUGAGGGUCAAAAUCUGCAGAAUCACAAAUCCAUGCCAUGUUCAUCCCGACAUCGACACCUAUGACUAUCCAGUGAUUGCUACAAUAAUUUUAAAUAAACACAUAAGUACCUUUGCGUCAAAAUAAGAUAAACCGAACAAUCGUUAAGUAUACAAUUAAUCGAACUUACUUGAAGUGGUAUGGAAUCCAUAUUGUUUCAAAGUGUUGGAGAUUCUUUAAACAUACGGCAAUCCACGCCGCAACCUUAAGAGACUCUUCUCUUAUUUUGGCCGCACGGAUCUUUUCUUUCUCCGCCAACGUCCCUCCAGCAGCUAGCUGUGGCGCAUCCAAUUCCCAUCUCGAUGGGUAAUUAAAAUUUAUUUGUGCUAUAGGCAUAGGGUCUACAUACCCAGCUUUCGUUGAGCGUGUAGAUUUAAUAAAGUUUGCUUGCAUUCUAAAAAUCAUGACGUAAGUUAGUUUUAGCAAAAUCCAACUAGGUUACUUUCAGAUCAUAUCAAGAGGAAGAGGACUUACAGGCACCAAGUGCGAAUCAGAUUCAUCGACAUUGAACUAAGGUGAAAGCAUGAUUGGAUGUCGCUGAAGUCAAAGGCAAUACCCGAAGCAGGGCCUCCAAAUGUGCGAGCAUGUAUUACUGCUUCCAACACAUUCAGUUCUGUACGUGAAACAUGCAAGUAGUACCAAUCAUGGAACCUUCUCAUUCCAUAUGGCAUCUUACACAAGAUCCGGUUUGGUAGGAAACGUUUGCCUUUUACAUAUUCUUUCGGGCAAUCCUUUGACCACUUGAUGGUUUCAACAUCUGGAUACUUUGUUAUCGUUGUGUAGUCUGAGGUGUCAGUGGGCAUCCUGUAGGCAAAUUUGUUCGGGCCUUGGUUCUCAGGCUUGAACUGGUCAUGAGCAUACCACUUGUACAUACCCGAGACGUUCAUAUCCACAAAAGAGUUUGACCCUGUCGACCUUAUCAUGAUGGGGAUCUUUUCACGAGCUUCACAUACUAGAGGGAGUAGUUCUUCAUGUGUCGGCGGUGCUUGUUGAAAAGUCUGUGCCAUCUCAUCAUGGCCUUGCUCGGGGCGAGCUGGAGAAUGUUGUGGCUUAGGAGGCACAUGUAGUGUCUCGUCAUGCUCUGACUCGGCACGAGCUGUAGAAGGUUUUGGGCUAUGAGGCACAUGUGGUGUCUCGUCACGCUUUGGCUCGGCACGAGCUGUAGAAGGUUGCGGGCUCUGAGGCACAUGUGGCGUCUCAUGCUCUGGCUCCGCACGAGCUACAGAAGGUUCACCUAUUUGAGGCUCAUGUGGCGUCUCAUCAUGCCCUGGCUCGACCCCUUGCUCGCCAGCGGUUGGAGAAGCCGGUACCCUCUCAUGCAUCAAGUGGUCCUCAUGAGACGGUGAAUACACCUCUCCAUCCUCAAGGUGGACUCUCUCCAGGUGUACAUCACUUGGAGUUGAAUAAGGAAACAUUCAACACAAUAUCCUUUUUGUACCAGGGGAUGAACUGUUUCAUGAGUAGUCCAAGCUCACGAAUCCCCUCGCUAGUUGGGUGUUCAAUCUUAUGCUUCGCGUACUCGGGAUUCACGGUAUGCACCUGAACCUUACUAUAGUUGGCCGUGACCGGUUUAUGGUGCCACAUGUCGCCUGGAAUUGGAGGAUGUGCCAGACCCGUUGGGUGAAGCCAUAGACAAUUUCAGCCUUCUUUUUCUGGCGUCGAACCUGCUCCAACUCCACCGUGUGCUGCCUUAUAGUAAUAAAACACACAAAAAAUCGAGGUAAGAAAAUGCAAGCGCAGGUCUGAAAUUAGAGGCUUUUACAUGAGUGCCAUUAAGAAAGAUCGCAAUUGCACAGAGGCUAUUAAAAAAGUUAGCCGCUCAUAGGUGCCACUACUCCAACUUAUUUACCUGAGAUGCCAUUCUGUCCGUGUGCCGUUUGAUUUAUGUCGUUUGUGCACUCUUACAGGUGGGCCCGGUCGCUUACCAGGACCAUAUUGCCCCUGCCUUCCAGCGGAGAGGUGGAGAGAGGGGAAGAAGGGGGAGCAGAGGCCCAGGCAGGGUCUGGUAGUGGCGCACGAUGACGCACGCGCCACGGCCUCCUCGCGCGCACAGAUGGCCUCCUGCAGCGCGCUCCAGCCCCCCUGCUCGCUCCGCAGGCUCUAGUCGGCGUCGGCCGCCGUGGCGUCAUAGAGGCGCACGGCGAGGUGGAGCAGCGUCUCCCGCCCCGUCACGUCGCAGCGAUCGAUGACCGCCAAGACGGCCUCGGCGCGGGCCUCCUCGGCAACGGAGUCCGCCUCUGUUCGGAUCUUCUCGGGCCGGCCCGCGGGAGCACAUCCAGCAGGCGGCAUGGUCCUGCACCACCACGGCGUGGUGCAUCGGGCUGUGCGCGUACCUGUCGGCGUCGACGCCAACCAUCGCGGUGUCCGUCCGUGCGCCCGGCGAACCUCGCCCCUCCCCCAGGAAGCUAAGGGAAUCGGAGCGGAAAAACAACGGCGCCUCUGCUCCUCACUCUUGUUAUCAGCGGCAGCGGAGCGGAAGGUAAGAAUUGAGCGGAAUGGAUGGCAGCGGAAAUCAAUCGUCCAGUGAUACUAAAGAAACGGGCUUCCUUUCUUGCUUACCAGUGCCCCCAAUCUUGGAGUUCCUCCCUGCUUCCUUGCCUUGCCUGUUUGGUCGUCACCACGAUGCGUCAGAUGUAGGACUUGUACAUGACAGGCAGGGGUAAUAUGGUCCUAGUAAGUGGCCGGGCCCACCUGUAAGAGUGUCUAAACGGCAGAAAUCACACAGCACAUGACGGAAUGACAUCUCCGACAAACAAGUUGGAAGCAAUGGCACCUAUGAGCCGCCAACUUUUUUAAUGGUCUCUAUGCAAUUGAGAUUUUUCUAAUGGCACUCAUGUAAAAGCCUCCUGAAAUUAUGUGACGAGUGAGUGAAUCAGGUAAAGAAUUAAUACUCAGCAACCUCUCUAACCUUUUCUGACUCUACCAACAAAUAUUGCAGGUCAUGCAUAUAUACAGCUUCCUGUUGAAUUUUCUUUAUUAUGUUGCUCACUGGAGGUUUCACCAGGAUGUCACGCACAUUUAUUAGAGCGUCAUGUCAGCAAAACUGUACCUUUUGCAUGAAACAAAGAGGAGAGAGAAGAAAGUAGUUUCACCAUGGUGAAACCCUGCGGGCGUUGUUUCCCACGCGGUGAAACGGGAUGAAAUCCCCACUGAGGGCUAAAUCGUUUCACCAUCUUGCAUGUGAUCCAAUCAUUUCGCAGUAAUUAAAUGCUUUGCCCAACCUAGGAAACGUCAAGGUGAAACUCAUGCAUUGUGGAGGUUGUUUCAUUAUUCGUUUCAUUGAUGCCCUGUCAGCGGAUUUGUUUUGGAAACAGUGCAUUGAAAUGGGCCACUGAGACUUGCCUAAGGGCAAGUCGACACAAGCCAUGUAACGCGGAGAAUGUUUGUAAGAUUCUAGUAAGAAUCGGGUUAAUCUUGAGGCCCCAGCGAUAAAUUAAUGAAGCACCACGAUUUGUGUAUACAUACAUGUAUAUUAUAACAGGUCGAAGACAGUGUUAGAUCUAAGCAUAGCAUAAAACAUGUAUAACUAAUAUACAAGAUCUUAGUCUUAGGCUAUUACAUGACCACUAAUUAAUUAAUAUGAAAAUAUUAAGAGGAAUAGUGCUAGACUAGCGUUGGCAGUCGCCAUCGGAACCUCUGGUGGUGAUACAGACAUUGGUGGUGGUGAAGAUGGACGUGAAUCACCAGCUGAGGGUUGAAAAACCCUCCGCAGAUGAAGAUCUCCUCGUGCCAGGUAGCGGCGGCCUUCUGGACGUCACCGGCACUAGCCUGCACGGGAUUGAGACCUUCCUGAACCGUCCAUCCCCUAAGUUGAUCGGUUUGAUGGAAAUGAAUGAGAUGGGAGGGGCCAGGGGGCACCUCUGCUUAUAUAGACACGUUGUGGACUAGAGGGCUAAACCCUAGACGAAAUCUAAAGGCUACCGUCGAUCGCGAUAGAUCUUAUCAUGUUGGAUAUACAUGACGGGUGGAUCUCUUACUUAACCCUUAAUUAAUCACAUAGUUAAUUAAUCUCGUCAUUAUCGCGGCAUUUGCCGAGAUCACAAUCCAAUAAACAGUACUAUUUCCGAAAGGAAAAAGGGGGAAGACAGAUCGGUUGAGCUAUAUGUAUGUCGGCAUGACGAAGAUGAAGAUAAGUACACAACUAGAAAAGCUUCACAAAUGCAGAAAAUGCAACCUGAAGUCGCUAGCCCGGCCUGGUGUCUUCAUCAUCAAUCAUCAAACAAAUAUGGACGACGACUACCCUGAGACAGACACAAGCAUGUCCAACCCACUCAGCCAUCAUGUACAUGUAUGCUAUAAGUAUGGAUGAAAAUAGUAUGGAUUUCGACCGUAUUCGAGACCGAAUUCAUUUCGAGAGGUUCAAAUCUAUCCGUAUCCGAGUUUGAAUAUUCAACAUCCGAUACUGUAUUCGUAUCUGAAUACUUAAAUUUUAUAUUUAUGAUGUCGAUAUCCAAUAAUAUCUUAUCCGACAUAAUUGAUAUUAUUCAUUUUCGAAUCCGAAUCCGACCAGAAAUAUGAAAACAAAUAUGAUAUCGGUGAUAUCCGUCCGUAUCUGAUCCGUUUUCGUCCCUAGCUAUAAGCCGUGGCAAAUUCUAUCUCCUCUCUCUAAUGACUGUUUGUGCUCUGCCAAAAGAUAGGCGGGAUUAGGCGGCAUUGCCGAAGUACGGCACAAGAACAACACCACCAAAUUCAGAAGUGAGAAUUACUUAGGAGUAGCUAGUAUUCUGCAGCCAGCCCAGACAGCAUUGCCAUCUCACACUAGAUCAAUCUACAGGCAGGUCCGCUCAACCAGAAAAUUAAGGGCUUGUUUAGUUGAAAAGAUGAAAAGUUUUAAGGUACUGUGACACUUUCGUUUUUAUUUACUAAUUAUUGUCUAAUUAUGGACUAACUAGGUUAUUCGUCUUGUAAAUUACUGGCAAACUGUGCAAUUAAUUAUUAUUUUAUCUAUAUUUAAUAUUUUAUGUAUAUGUGACGCAAGAUUUGAUGUGACGAAAAAUCUUGAAAUGUUUUUGGUUUUUAGGGUGAACUAAACAAGGCCUAAAGCUUAAAUCUGCAGCUCAAUAGAAGGAUCUAUCUAUCCAAACAUGAGUUUCGGUGGGGUACAGAGAGAGAAAAUACUAUCUUUGUCAUAAUUUGGGCAAAAACUUCAAUUUUCAGUAUAUGAGUCUGUUUGGUUCUCCUCACUAGAUUUUAGCCAGCUUAAACUACUUUAGCUAGUGACUAGUAGAACUGAAUUAUUUUAGACUUUUUAGUCAAUGUGUUUGGAAGUUUAGAUACUAAAGUGAAUAAAGUUUAGUUGACUAAAAUUUAGCAAAUGAACCAAACUGGCCCUAAGUAUGGUGGAAGGCGGGCAUAUUAUAAAUCAUCGAUCAAAUACAAGAGAUACAUGGAUGCAGUAGAGCAGAGAGGAUCUUUGCCAGCUUGUUCGUUUGAGAAUACACUAGUACAAAUAAGCUCUAAGCUGGCGGUGAAAUUUAAUUUUUACAGGCGGUUUUAAUUAAAGAAUGCCUGUAAAAAUAAAUUGGCGGGCCCAACUCAAAAACCGCCUGUGAAAAUCAAUUUUUACAGGCGGUUUUCCUAACAAAACUUCCUGUAGAAAUCAUGUAUUUCUACAAGCGGUUCUCCUAAGAAACCGUCUGUAAAAAUCAUAUUUCCGCCUGUAGAAAUAAUUUCAAAUUGAAUUUUUUAGGUUUUUCAAUUGACCUCAUUUGAAAAAAUUGUCAAAAUGAAAGUUGUAGAUCUCGAAAAGUUAUGAAACUUUAUAGUUGGUAAUUUUUUCAUUUAAAAUCAUCUUGUCGUCGAAAACUACGUUUGAAUUUCUCAAAUUUAAAAUUCAACUUUUGUAAAUGACCUCGGAUGGAGAAACUACCAAUAUAAAAGUUGUAGACUUUGAAAAGUUAUGAAACUUUGUAGUUGGCAACUUUUAAUUGGAAUCCGUUUAGGGCUUUAAAUAAUCAAUAUAUGUUCAGUUUAGGAUAAUAUGUGGGGAACUAGAGGAGGCUACGCGCAAGGGUAAAGUCUCAGGUUCGAAUCCCACUAGCCACGAAGCACGUGAUUUUAUGCGAAAAAAAAGCACGACUCGCGACUUAAGACGGAGAUGGGCGGGCGAUUAUCCAGUGAGCCUUCCCCUGUAUUUAAAUCUUUUUUUUCUAUUUUUAAAAGUCGAUUUUGUAUUUUCUAUAAAAAGAUUUCUACCGGCGGUUCUCAGUUAUCCGCCUGUGGAAAAGUUUAUUUCCACAUGCCAACAGCGCAGGCGGUUCGUCAUUCCGCCUAUAGAAAGCGGUUGCGAACCGCCUGUACAGUACCUUUGUAUACUAGUGUUAUCUGUCGAAUCUGUCAGUCAUUCAGCAAUAUUAACGGCACAUGCAUUAUAUAUUCAACAAAAUAGAUUACGUAUCACAUGAAUAUCCACAUUUCAUCACAGAAUACGCAUUAUAUCCACAAAUCGAUGCAUCCAUCACAUUAAAAAAUCUUUGUUCAUCAAACCAUCACAUUCAACCAUGCAAAUUCAUUCAUCACACUACAGUCAUCCACACGAUACAGAAAUGGAUUGGCCAGCAACAAAAAGACUAAUCACUCGUCACCUUGAUCCCCAGCGCCCACAGUGCUCCCGCCUUGCUGCGAAGUCCCCGCAACGCCCUCCUGCGACCCGGCUGUCGAUGGCACUCCGCCCUGUGGCCACUGGCUCCAAGUAGGAGGAUGAGGAAGUCCACGUGACCAGAAUACGUUGUUCAAACAUGACGCCGGGGGAAAGAUUGAGGGGGAUCACGAACACUGACCAACAUGUGUACGGGGCCGCACCCGUUCCAUACGGGUUGAACCCAUCUGUUGCAAACGCCACACGUACGUUUCGAGCCUCUCUAGCUUUGUCAGGAUGCAUGUCAUCGAAGUACUUCCACGCUUCACCAUCCGAUGGGUGUACCAUCUUGUCAGGAUUGUAUCUUUUGUCGCGAGUCGAAGUACUUCCAUGCAUGUCAUCGAAGCACUUCCACGCUACAACUACAACUACUUUACUACCACUAUUACUACUACAACUACAAUUACUAAUUACCUUGUCGACGACAAACGGCGACGAAAACGUGUUUUUUUCCUCUUCUUCCUCUUUCUCUUCUUCUUCCUCUCUCUCUUCUUCUUCCUUCUUUCUUCCUCUUCUUUCUUCUCCUCUCUUCUUCCUCCUCCUUCCUUCCUCCUCUCCUCAACGGCUGGGAUGGGGUGGGGGCUCGUGCGGGGGGGGGGGGGGGGGCCAAGGGGGGGGGGGGGGCGGGGUGGGUGGGGGGAGCUGGGGCGGGGUGGGGGGGCUGCUGCGGGGUGGGGGCUGCUGCGGGGUGGGGAGUUGGGGCGCGGGCAGGGGGCUCGGGUGCGGGGGCCGGGGUGGGGGGCUGGCAGGGGGCGGAGGCGCGCGGCUCGCGGCGGCGGUGCUCCGGCGGCAGGCGGCGGCGUGAGUGUGUGGGGGUCUGUGUGUGUUUGUGUGUGUGUGUGUUGUGUGAGUGUGUGAGUGGUGUGUGUGGCCGGUGUGAGUGGCCGCGUGUGGGUUUCUUUUUUUUUUGGCUCUUUGCCGAGUGCCGGAUCGGGGGCACUCGGCAAAGAAUUUUUUUUAAAUCAUCUUUUUCACCGGGUGAUGCAAAAGACGAAAAAAAAUGAAAAGGAACCUUUGCCGAGUGUCAGGUGGCGGGGCACUCGGCAAAGAAUUUUUUUUUUAAAUCGUCCUUUGAACGGGCGAGGCAAAAGACGAAAAAAAAGGAAACCUUUGCCGAGUGCCAGGUGGCUGGGCACUCAGCAAAGACAAAAAAAAUUUUAAACGAACCGCGGGCCGGCGGGCGGGAAAACGUUUGCCGAGUGCCAAGGCCCCUCUUUGCCGAGUGCCAACUCGGCACAGAUUUUUUUUUUAUUUUUGCUUCCAAAUUUUUUUUUAGCUUCACAUGGCACCAUGAUGAACAUAUUCAAAUUUUACACUUUUUCAAAACAUUUUAAUAUAUUUUUUGACUUUAUUUUAUUUUCUUUACUUUUCUCGAUAAACGCAAAUUUGAACUGCGUGUGCAUCGAAUAAUGCAUUUCAAUAAUUCGAAAAAUGUUAUUCUUGUUCUUGAGUGUAUAUUUAGGCCAAAUCCAAAUACUGACCCCAAUUUUUUAUCAACGUUCGCACGGAGCAACACUUCCAAGUUUUGUGCGGGCGAUUUUUAAAUUCUAAAAAAUUCAAAUGAAUCCCGAAAAUCACGAAACUUGGCGAGAUGUCGUUAUAUCAUAUGCGUAUGCUAUGGAAAAAAUUUUGUAAAAAUUUGGAGCACGUUGUCAUGUACGUUGCUCACAAACCAUAUGAUCACAUGAUCAUAUGAGGAGAAGUACUGGUUUGUGAACAAUGUACGUGACAACGUGCUCCAAAUUUUCUCAAUUUUUUUCCAUGGCAUACGCAUAUGAUAUAACGACAUCUCGCCAAGUUUCGUGAGUUUCGGGAUUCAUUUGAAUUUUUUAGAAUUUCAAAACCGCCCGCACAAAACUUGGAAGUGUUGCCCCGUGCGAAUGUUGAUAGAAAAUUGGGGUCAGUUUUUGGAUUUGGCCUAAAUAUACACUCAAGAACAAGAAUAACAUUUUUCGAAUCAUUGAAAUCCAUUAUUCGAUGCACCCGCAGUUCAAAUUUGCGUUUAUCGGGAAAAGUAAAGAAAAUGAAAUAAAGUCAAAAAAAUAUUAAAAUGUUUUGAAAAAGUGUCAAAUUUGAAUAUGUUCAUCAUGGUGCCAUGUGAAGGCUACAAAAAAAUUGGAAGCAAAAUCAAAAAAAAUCUUUGCCGAGUGCCAAACGGCAGGCACUCGGCAAAGAUGACGGGCAUGGAUGGCGUUAAGCCAUCCAGAGCUUUGCCGAGAGUAGCUCUUUGCCGAGUGCCGGACACUCGGUAAAGAUAAGAUUUGCCGAGUGUAAUUCUUUGCCCUGUGCCGGGCACUGCAAAGAGUGGUUUGCCUAGUGUUUAUGCUUUGCCGAGUGCCACGUGGGCAGGCACUCGGCAAAGAGCCUCUUUGCCGAGUGUGCGAUUUUUGCCACUCGGCAAAGAGGGCACACUCGGCAAAGUACUGGUUUCCUGUAGUGCUCAGUAUAAGAUUUAUAUGUCGUUUAUGACAGUGAUACGAUCUCCAAAACGCAACUUUUACCUCUUAUUUUUAUAAAAAAUGUUUAGAAAAAAUGAUAUAUGUAUACUUUUAUGAAAGUACUUUUCAAGACAAAUACAUUCAUAUAAUUUUCACAUUUGCAAACUCAACAAUUUAAAAGUUAUUGAUGAUUUAUAUUCCCAAUGUUUGACCCAAAUCUUAUCAUCUAAAUCCUAUAUGGAAGGAGUAUGUUAAUUAGGAUUAGGUAAUAUUUGCCAGAACCAGAGGAAUCUCUGGGGAAAUUAAUUAAACCUGGCCCUGACCGGCCUCGAUCAGAUCCCUCUGUCCCCUAUGGUCACGUGUAAUCACAUGUGAAGCAACACAAAACAAUUAGACAGUUGCAUGGCCACAUGGGGUCGCAGCCCAAGACCUGAAGCGCGCAGCGAAGCAACGUCGUUUACAAACCUGCAAGUGGUCUUCAGAUUAAAAAGUAAACAGUAGGUGUGUAUUUGGGUACCUGCUACAAUUAUUGUAUGCAUCGUUUACAAGCAUCGUUUACAAACCUGCUACAACUAUUGUAUUCCAUCAUUCACAAACUUGCUACAAUUAUAGUAUGCCAUCAUAAAGCAGGUUCAGCUCCAUUUGUGCAGUAUUGUGUGCGUUGUACUAGUAUAUUGUAUCCGUCCCUCAUACAAAGGACUCGUGUACAAAUAAAAGGAAACCAAAAAUAUUGCGAGUGAAGAGGUGGUUUUCUGAGAAACUGAGAGAGUUUGCAUUGUGCAGUUCUAUCUAUCAAACCCUGAGCUUUGCAGAUCCAGGAAAUCCUCUUGUUCUUCAUUUGUUCUCUCACAUUGCCCCAGCAUUUGAAACCACACACUCAGUGGCGUCAGCACAACCAGAUUUUUCUUCUUCUCCUAGUGAUUUUCUAUUCAAAAUUUAGUAUGAACUUUUUUUACUCCUCUUAGUGAGGAUCCCAUGCUAGUGGUAGUGUUUUAUUACUACUUAAAAACACUAGGAGAAUUCCAUCUUUUUAUUAGUGCAGUACUCACAGUCUCCAGAGAACUGACCUCCCUCCGCAAUUGCAUUCACCCAAGCUUGCGCUUUCCACCACCCCCACGCUCCUGCAUGCUGUCACUACUGUACCUGCCACUGUCCUGUCAUUCUUAAGGCUUCAGUUGAAGGAAAACUUGGCCGGACAGCAAGAGUCCUGUCAUUCUCGAUCUCUUUCCUGUUGGCUGCCUACGCCCUACGGUAUGAAUCACACUCCCUUCCCUCUUGUUCUUGUUGAUUCGGUUUGCACUCCAGAGUUCAAUCAAAUCUAGGCACUGACGAGUCGUCCGUAUGAGUACUAGACUUGUCACUCGUGAUUGAUAAAGAAAAACCUUUAAAUGUGUUGAUUUCUUUUCUUUCAGGAUUGGAAAGAAGUAGACUACCCACGCACUGUCAAAGUGAGAGCGAGCAAAGAAAGGAAAGGCAAGGUCAUCGAUGGCUGCCGUGGUGACUGCAUCACACGGCGCUAUGGGCUCCCUGAUAGCGAAGCUUGGUGAUUUGCUCGCAGCUGAGUACAAGCUGCUCAAAGGAGCUAAGGGACAGAUCUUGUUCCUCAAAGCUGAGCUUGAGAGCAUGCAUGUCUUCCUCAAGAAGAUCUCAGAUACUGAGCAGCCAGAUGAGCAAGACAAGUGUUGGGCCAAGGAGGUACGUGAGCUGUCCUAUGAUAUUGAGGACAGUGUUAGUGAGUUCAUGCUCCGUGUGGAAAGCAAGUCAAGCAGCAAGCCACGUGGAUUCAUGGGUUUCAUAAAUAGAAGCACAAAGUUGUUGACUACCAUGAACAUUCGGCAUGACAUCGCCAAAGAGUUUGAAGGCCUCAAGGUCCAUGUCGUCGAGGUCAGGGAGCGACACAAGAGGUACCAGCAGACUAAUGAUGUUGCCUCUAGGACAACUAACACAACCAUUGAUCUUCGGUUAUUAGCAAUGUAUGCGAAAGCAUCAAGCCUUGUUGGUAUGGAUGGCCCCAGAGAUGAACUAAUUCAAUUGAUGGCUGGAGAGGAUGAGCUAAAGGUUCUCUCUAUUUUUGGCUUUGGAGGCCUAGGAAAGACUACACUUGCAAAUGAGAUUUAUCGCAAGCUCCAGGGGGAGUUUCAAUGUCGAGCCUUUGUGUCUGUGUCCCAAAAUCCAAACAUUAGGAAGAUUAUGAAAACGAUGCUAUCUCAAGUUGGCUAUGUACCUUCUAAGGACAUAAACAUAGAACUGUGGGAAGAUUCUGAGUUCAUUAGUGCGCUCCAAAAUUUUCUUCAAGAACAAAGGUAUGCUAGCCCAGAAAUAAUUGUAUCCUACACAUGGUUUAUUGAGUUUGUUCUAUUUUCGUGUCAUUCUGUUGAGCAUGCUAGUAAACUCAACAUGUUGAUUUAUCUGUAUUUUUUCUUUUAACCUUGUUUUCUUAAUAUUGACUAGUUUAUGUGUGUCCCUAUUGUAUUCUUAGAUCCUGGUUAAUGGAUGUUUAUAUUGAGCUUGCUUUUUGCCUAUACUAAUGGUUGCCACACUCCAUAUGUAUUUAUAUGUCAGGUACUUAAUCGUAAUUGACGACAUCUGGGAUGCUUCUGCAUGGGAUAUCAUCAGAUGUGCUCUUCCUGAGAACAUUAAUGGUAGCAGAGUAUUAAUAACAACACGAAUUGAAACCGUGGCUAGAGGAUGUUGCACCAAGAACAUUGAAUGUGUUUACAAGAUGAAGGCACUUAGUGACCAGGACUCAAGAAGCUUAUUCUUCAAAAGAAUUUUUGGUUCAGAGGAUGGUUGCCCUCCAAAUUUGAAGGAAGUGUCUGCUCAAAUUUUGAAAAAAUGUGGUGGUAUGCCACUUGCAAUUAUCACAACAUCUAGUCUAAUAGCCAGUCAACCAAGCAAACAAAAGGAGCACUGGGAAUAUGUAAGGGACUGUCUGGGCUCCAACUUUGAAAUGAGCCCAAGCUUGGGAGGCAUGAGACAAAUAUUGAAUCUUAGCUAUAUACAUCUUCCCCAUUAUUUGAAGACUUGCAUGCUAUAUUUGGGUAUUUAUCCCGAGGACUACAUAAUUGACAAGAAUGAUUUGACGAGGCGGUGGAUAGCUGAAGGUUUUAUAUGUCAAGCUCGUGGGAUGGAUCUUGAGGAUAUUGCAAAAUGUUAUUUUAAUGAGCUCAUUAAUAGGAGUUUGAUUCAGCCUGCACAUACAAACUAUUAUGGUGAGGUGAUGUCUUGCAGGGUACAUGAUAUGAUGCUUGAUCUUAUCCUACAUAAAUCCCGAGAAGAGAAUUUUGUCACUGUAAUAGAUGAUAUACGAGCCAUGACAGGACGUCAAGACAAGAUCCGUCGACUCUCUCUCAACCUUGAUGGUACAGUAGGUAAAAGGGUUGCAGGAUGUGUCCAGCUAUCCCAAACAAGAACACUGGCAAUAUUUGGAACCUCUUCAUAUUUACCUCCUUUUCAACUGUUCAAGUAUCUCCGUGUUCUCGGGAUUGAAAUUACAGUAAGGUCCUAUCCAACGCUGUCACUAGAUUUUACUGAGAUCCGUCAUCUAUUUCAGUUGAGAUCUUUAAAGAUCGUAGCAGAAGGUUGCAAGGUGGUGUUACCUAGUAAAAUUGGGAGUAUGCAGCAAUUGGAAACAUUUGAAAUCAAUGCUACUAUAAAAUUGUCUAAUGGACAAUCAUUUCGUGAACUACCAUCGG
rnacentral:lncRNA from 1 species